rnacentral:rRNA from 1 species
UACGGAGGGUGCGAGCGUUGUUCGGAAUCACUGGGCGUAAGGCGCGUGUAGGCGGCUUCCUAAGUCUGAUGUGAAAGCCCGGGGCUUACCCCCGGAAGUGCAUUGGAAACUGAGAAGCUUGAGUACCGGAGAGGAAGGUGGAAUUCCUGGUGUAGCGGUGAAAUGCGUAGAUAUCAGGAGGAACACCGGUGGCGAAGGCGGCCUUCUGAACGGAUACUGACGCUGAGACGCGAAAGCGUGGGGAGCAAACAGG